GUCCUGAGGUGAGGGUGGGGGAGGGACUCUGUGAGAAUGGGCAACCUCCAGGUGCCAGGACUCUAACAAUGAUUUAUAACACUGUAGCUAGGGCCUAUAUACAGUAGACGGGCAGUAGAGUAGACUCUUGUAUUCCGAACAAAUUGUAAGGCUUCUGAGCUCCAGCUGUGUUGCUGUGGGUUAGUCUUCUUCGGAAGAAUACACCAAGACACAUAAUGAGUGAAGAUUUUUGGUUGUGUGUAUAUGAAAUGUAAAUCAAGUGUUUCUGCUGUUUUGCAAGUGUGUGUUUCAGCAAUGAAACAGUUAACAGCAGGCCAGUUUGACUGACAGCCUGCUGUGACCUAUGAGACAUGAUUUCCGGCCUUGGAGGUCGGAACUUCCUUCGGACUAAGGAAUGUGCUUUCUUAUUUCUGUUGAGCUGUGUGUGCCGAGCCGAGAGGCAAAGGGAAAAUGGCAGCUUCUAGCAAUGGACUUUGCUGUUAUGCAAUACUGGUCUUGCCAACAGAUCUACCAUUUAUGCAACGGCAGAAGGAUAAUCCUGUGUCCAGUUCUGGGAACCAGAAUUCAAGAAGGCCCGGGCUGUGGUGCAGGCUGGUGAGCAGCCGGCUGCAGCCAGCUGCAACAAAUCACUCUGACCAAGAGGUCAUGAGUUCGAGGCCAGCUCAGAGCCUGCAUUUGUCUCUAUCUUUGUUCUAUGUUAAGGCAUUGAAUGUUUGCCUUAUAUGUGUAGUGUGAUACACCCUGAGUCCCUUCAGGGUGAGAAGGGCAGAAUAUAAAUACUGUAAAUAAAUAAAUAAUAAAUGUGGACAAAUGGGAAGGCAUCCAAAGGAGGGCCAAAGAAGUCAUCGAAGCUCCGGAAAUCUGGAAUCCCUCUGAGGAGCAUUUUAGUGGAUGUUUAGCUUGGAGACGGUGUCUUCUGGCCUUCCUGAAUGGGGCUGGACUGGAUGUCCUCUAGGAGUCUCUCCCAACUCUAGGAUUCUAUGAGCAGCCACACAGCGCUAAGCAACAGAAAGAAGUACAUCGACUCUUCUGGAGCCGCUCCACAUCCCCCGCAUCCCUCGCUGUUUUG
rnacentral:lncRNA from 1 species